rnacentral:piRNA from 1 species
UGCAAGGCUGCACCAAACUAAUGGUUC